UGGGGAAUAUUGGACAAUGGGCGAAAGCCUGAUCCAGCCAUGUCGCGUGUGUGAAGAAGGUCUUCGGAUUGUAGAGCACUUUAAGUUGGGAGGAAGGGCAUUAACCUAAUACGUUAGUGUUUUGACGUUACCGACAGAAUAAGCACCGGCUAACUCUGUGCCAGCAGCCGCGGUAAUACAGAGGGUGCAAGCGUUAAUCGGAAUUACUGGGCGUAAAGCGCGCGUAGGUGGUUUGUUAAGUUGGAUGUGAAAUCCCCGGGCUCAACCUGGGAACUGCAUUCAAAACUGACUGACUAGAGUAUGGUAGAGGGUGGUGGAAUUUCCUGUGUAGCGGUGAAAUGCGUAGAUAUAGGAAGGAACACCAGUGGCGAAGGCGACCACCUGGACUAAUACUGACACUGAGGUGCGAAAGCGUGGGGAGCAAACA
rnacentral:rRNA from 1 species